rnacentral:rRNA from 1 species
CAUGCAGUCGACGAGAAGCCCCUUCGGGAGUGAGUAGAGUGGCGCACGGGUGAGUAACGCGUGGAUAAUCUACCUACGAGUUCGGGAUAACUUCGCGAAAGUGGAGCUAAUACCGGAUGGUCUGGCAUUUAUAUCUUAGAUGUCGGUAAAGAUAGCCUCUUCUUGAAAGCUAUUGCUUGUAGAUGAGUCCGCGUCUCAUUAGCUAGUUGGUAGGGUAACGGCCUACCAAGGCAACGAUGAGUAGCUGGUCUGAGAGGAUGAUCAGCCACACUGGAACUGGAACACGGUCCAGACUCCUACGGGAGGCAGCAGUGGGGAAUAUUGGGCAAUGGGCGCAAGCCUGACCCAGCAACGCCGUGUGAGGGAUGAAGGUCUUCGGAUUGUAAACCUCUGUCAGAAGGGAAGAAGUGCAUGAGGUCCAAUAGGCCUUAUGUUUGACGGUACCUUCAGAGGAAGCACCGGCUAACUCCGUGCCAGCAGCCGCGGUAAUACGGAGGGUGCAAGCGUUAUUCGGAAUCACUGGGCGUAAAGCGUGCGUAGGCGGCGAGGUAAGUCAGGUGUGAAAUCCCACGGCUCAACCGUGGAACUGCACUUGAAACUGCUUUGCUUGAGUACUGGAGGGGAUGGCGGAAUUCCUGGUGUAGGAGUGAAAUCCGUAGAUAUCAGGAGGAACACCAGUGGCGAAGGCGGCCAUCUGGACAGUAACUGACGCUGAGGUACGAAAGCGUGGGGAGCAGACAGGAUUAGAUACCCUGGUAGUCCACGCUGUAAACGAUGGAU